GCUCUGGGAACUCAACUCAGAUCCGUCGCCGUUGCAUAAUCGAGUAAAAUGGAUCAAGAGGCAGCUGAAACUGCGAGGGAGUCGCUGGAGCUUGUGUUUCGGAUGUCGAACAUCUUGGACACUGGUCUCGAUCGACAUACAUUGUCUGUUUUAAUAGCUCUCUGCGAUCUUGGUCUUAACCCCGAGGCUCUAGCUGCUGUCGUCAACGAGCUUCGCCAGGAAUCUGGCAACAACCAUGGCAGCCGCUUAAGAUAAUAAUUCAAAUCCUUUGGAAGAUGGAUCAAUACUGAAACAUCUGCGAUUGAUUUUUUUUUUCUUUUUCCUUUUAUGUUUCGGUUUUAUUCUGCCAUUAACUUAUCGAGUGUUCCUGAGAUAUAGAGUCUUAUGAGGGGCCGAAUCACAAAGUUACCCUCCUCA